AUGAUCAUGAAGCAUGAGGAGAAGGAGCAGAUCAAGUGUCUCAACAGCAGGUUCGCAGCCUUCAUCGACAAGAUGGGUGUCCUUGAACACUCUGUGCCCAUUCAGGGUGCGUCUAACCGCAAGUGCUGCGAGAGCAUCGUGGAGCCGCUGUUCAGCGGCUGCAUUGGAAUGCUGAGGCGGGAGACACGGUGCACGGAGGUGGACAGUGAGAGGCUGGCCUUAGACAAAACUCAACCGGGCACAGGAGGCCCCAUGGAGGGCUACAAGAAGCUUGGGCAGUUA